UACGGAGGGUGCAAACGUUGCUCGGAAUCAUUGGGCGUAAAGCGCACGUAGGCGGCGAAGCAAGUCGGGUGUGAAAGCCCUGGGCUCAACCCAGGAAGUGCAUUCGAAACUAUUUCGCUUGAAUCUCGGAGGGGGUCAGAGAAUUCCCGGUGUAGAGGUGAAAUUCGUAGAUAUCGGGAGGAAUACCAGUGGCGAAGGCGGCUCACUGGCCCGUAACUGACGCUGAGGUGCGAAAGCGUGGGGAGCAAACAGG
rnacentral:rRNA from 1 species